rnacentral:misc_RNA from 1 species
AAACCACAUUCAUACAUUUCUUGUACUAAUUAAUCUCUUGUUUUCCCUUACUUUGCAAGCAAACCCACCAAGGGGAAGCAAUGGGUUCUGAGUCUCUAGCUCAUGUUCUUCUUAUUUCUUUUCCUGGCCAGGGCCACGUAAACCCUUUGCUUAGACUUGGCAAGCGUCUUGCCUCUAAGGGUUUGCUUGUCACUUUCUCUACACCUGAAAUCACUGGCCGGCAGAUGAAAAAAUCAGGCAGCGUCUUUGAUGAGCCUACCCCAGUUGGUGAUGGCUACAUCCGGUUCGAGUUCUUUGAAGAUGGCUGGGAUGAUGAUGAGCCUAGACGACAAGACCUUGACCAAUACCUGCCUCAACUUGAGCUUGUUGGGAAGAAGUUGAUUCCUGAGAUGAUCAAGAGAAACGCCGAGCAAGGUCGCCCAAUUUCUUGCCUCAUCAACAACCCUUUCAUUCCUUGGGUUUCUGAUGUGGCGGCAAGUCUUGGUCUCCCUUCAGCAAUGCUCUGGGUUCAAUCUUGUGCUUGUUUCUCUGCCUACUAUCAUUAUUAUCAUGGUCUUGUCCCUUUCCCUAGUGAGGAAAACCCAGAGAUCGAUGUUCAGUUGCCAUGUAUGCCUCUCUUGAAAUAUGAUGAAGUUCCAAGCUUCUUAUAUCCUACAACUCCAUAUCCUUUCUUGAGGAGAGCUAUUUUGGGUCAGUAUGGGAAUCUUGACAAGCCUUUCUGCAUCUUGAUGGAAUCAUUUCAAGAGCUGGAGCCGGAGAUCAUUGAGUACAUGUCCAAACUGUGCCCAAUCAAGCCGGUUGGUCCUUUGUUUAAGAACCCUAAAGCACCAAACUCAGCUGUUCGAGGCGACAUCAUGAAGGCUGAUGAUUGCAUUGACUGGUUGGACAGCAAGCCACCCUCAUCGGUGGUUUAUGUUUCUUUCGGUAGUGUGGUGUACUUGAAGCAAGACCAGUGGGAUGAAAUUGCAUAUGGGCUAUUGAAGUCUGGUGUCUCAUUCUUGUGGGUCAUGAAACCACCACACAAAGAUUCAGGAUAUGAGGUUCUUGUUUUGCCUGAAGGGUUCUUGGAGAAAGCAGGAGAUAAGGGCAAAGUAGUGCAAUGGAGUCCACAAGAGAAAGUUUUAGCUCACCCAUCAACUGCAUGCUUCGUGACACACUGUGGAUGGA